AGCGAACGCUGGCGGCAGGCUUAACACAUGCAAGUCGAACGCCCCGCAAGGGGAGUGGCAGACGGGUGAGUAACACGUGGGAACGUACCCUUUGGUUCGGAAUAACUUGGGGAAACUCAAGCUAAUACCGGAUAAGCCCUUAUGGGGAAAGGUUUACUGCCGAAGGAUCGGCCCGCGUCUGAUUAGCUAGUUGGUGAGGUAAUGGCUCACCAAGGCGACGAUCAGUAGCUGGUCUGAGAGGAUGAUCAGCCACACUGGGACUGAGACACGGCCCAGACUCCUACGGGAGGCAGCAGUGGGGGAUAUUGGACAAUGGGGGCAACCCUGAUCCAGCCAUGCCGCGUAAGUGAUGAAGGCCUUAGGGUUGUAAAGCUCUUUUACCCGGGACGAUAAUGACUGUACCGGGAGAAUAAGCCCCGGCUAACUUCGUGCCAGCCGCCGCUGUAA
rnacentral:rRNA from 1 species